CAAAAACGAAAGAUUCGAGUAACCCUCCAAGUUAGGGAUAUUAAAAAAGGCCGUAGCAAGGAGACGUUAACAGACCAGUUAGAGUAAAGCCUCAACUUUCAUAGAAGAGCGCCAGUAGGAUAAAACAGCAAUCCCAAGACUAGCUUUCCCGGACAAUAUAUAUUGUGAAAUGGUGGCGCUAUAACAAAUCCAAAGUACCUUAACUUGCGGUUGCCGCGCAAAGCUGGUCACCUUAACCAGUCAUACCCAUACCCAUUUAUGGAGAUGAAGAAUCUGAAGCUCAAAUUAAAGCCAUGAAAGAAGUAGCUACUCCUACUGCAUUUUUCUCGACUCCCCUCUACCAGAGAUUCUUGAGAUUCUCUUAAUUCCGGUUUGUAGUAGCAGCAGGGAUAGGAAAGACAAAUAACCGGCC
rnacentral:lncRNA from 1 species